rnacentral:rRNA from 1 species
UUUUUGGAGAGUUUGAUCUUGGCUCAGGACGAACGCUGGCGGCGUGCCUAAUACAUGCAAGUCGAGCGCGGGAAACUCUUCUGAUCCCUUCGGGGUGAAGAGAGUGGAACGAGCGGCGGACGGGUGAGUAACACGUGGGCAACCUACCUAUAAGACUGGGAUAACUCGCGGAAACGUGAGCUAAUACCGGAUAAUACUUUUUAUUGCAUAAUAAGAAA